ACGUCGGUAAGUUUCAGCCAAUCAAAACGCAGUGGGCGGGACGAAAACUUGGGCAGCGGAAGAUUCAAACUGAAGAUGGCGGCGGCUGUUAAUGAUCCCCACAACAACCACAAACUGAACAGAAGCGGGACUAAAUGCAGUGUUUCUAACAGCCGGGGGGAAACAGACGCGAGCCAGCCUGUGAUAUUUAACCCAGACUUCUUUGUGGAGAGGCUGAGACACGAGCAUCCGCAGAUAUUCACGGAAUUAAUCCUCAGCAACAUAACUCGACUCAUAGAUCUUCCAGGGGAUGAGUUUGCUCAGCUCAACGGAGAGGCUGAGCCAAAGGUGCCCUCCACCACUGGCUUCCUACGCUCCCUGAACUUCCUGAAACGGAAAGACAAAGGAGUGGUGUUUGGCGCACCUUUAACUGAAGAAGGAAUAGCCCAGAUCUAUCAGCUCAUUGAAUACCUGAGUAAAAACCUUCAUGUGGAGGGGUUGUUCCGUGUGCCAGGCCACAGCCUAAGGCAGGCGGCCCUGAGGGAGAUGCUAAAUGCUGGCUCAGAGAUAGAUCUAGACGCAGGCGACUUCCACCCCAAUGAUGCGGCCACGUUGCUCAAAGCCUACCUGGGAGAACUGCCAGAGCCUCUGCUCACACACAGACACUACUGUGCUCACCUGAAGAUUGGAGAGCUGACUCGCUUUGAUGAAAAGGGGGAUAAGACAAAUGUACCAGACAAGGAACGCCAGAUUGAAACGUAUCAGCUCCUUCUCAUGCUGCUCCCAUCAGCCAACCGCAGUUUUUUAAAGCUGCUGCUGGACCUGCUUUACCAAACAGCUCGCAAUCAACACGUCAACAAGAUGUCUGCUAUUAACCUGGCCACAAUGUUUGCUCCUCACAUCAUGUGGCCUAAGAAUGUGAUGGCAAGUGAUCUGCAGGGACACAUAGAGAAACUGAAUAACAGCGUAGCAUUUCUCAUCAGGCACUCGCAAAGACUGUUCAAGGCACCUGCAUAUAUCAAAGAAUACACCUGCAUGUAUUACACAGGAUUAAAAAGGCUUCAAUCAAAGGAUGACUCUGCGCUCUGUUCUGGGACUAAAGACAAGGAGACCAUGCCAGCGGUAACAGCUGCCUCCCCUUCUCCCUUAAUGAGAACAACGGGAGCGGAGGUCAGCAGCACCUGCACUGCCAGGUCUUCUGAGACUCAGAGUUACACUGAAUCUGCUCUCAGAGAGCUGUACGAGCAGGUCAACAGCAUGCCGGAGUCUGCCAAAAAGAAGAAACUCAUCAGACAGUUUGAAAAGCAGCCUUUGCUGACACCUUCGGCUGAUUCUCCGACACCUUUCAUCAGAAAACACUGGCGUUCACGCUCUUUAGGUGGAAUGAUUAAGAGGAAAGUGUUGGGAAGCCAAUCAUCUACAGAGAAAGAAAACAGCAGAGUCCUCCCGGCAGUGCAGCCGACAGCAAUAGAAGGAAAAAAAACCCACUGUGAGGCGCCCCUCCCACCAGAGAAGCAUGAAGAGAUGUAAGGAAAUGAAGAGAGGGAGAGAGAGAGGGAACGAGGAGUUAUUGAACUCUGGUGAUGUGAAGUUUCAGUGAGGUAGGAGCCACUUCAGUGUCCAAUCAGUGAGUGAUAAUUGAUACAGUCAGUGAAAAGACGGCUGCUCUCGUGUACCCUCGCAUAUCGUUCCUCCGAUGUCCCUCCUCUCUCCUCAGAGCAGCGUUGAGAGCUUUGAAAUGCUUCCUAGCAUGGUGGGACUGAUUAAUCACCUUUAACAGAAGGUUCUCUUCAUCCCCGGGAAAACAAAGUCUGACUGUUACUAAAGGGAGUUAUAGUCUUCUUAAGCUGUAAUUACAAACGGUGCAACACUAGUUUUGUUUGAACACCGUGUUUCCCUCGAUACUUAACCUGUUUUUUUUUCCUCUCAGAAAGUAAAGUCUGAGUCUGAGAGGUAAUUUAAAAGGAAGUCAACCAAACUUCUUUGCAGUGUAGUCAACUGUACUUAAGGUCAUAAAAGUUAAACACUGAGGAUGUUACAUGCGUCAUUUUAAAUUGAUGCAAGUUUUCACUUUUCUUACCCAGGCCACAGGAGUCCCAUAUAACUUAACCAAUAUUAAUUGUUUAUUUAAAAUGCUCUUUGAAAUGCAACAUGGAUUUAUACCUUUUAAUUUGAGGGUGUUAAGCUUUCUCAUUCACUGAAUCUUAUUUAAUUAUCAAACCUUAUUGUAUUUAUUUUUAUUAUGCUGGGUGUUUUCAAGUCCUUGAAUCCAGUGCAUUAAUAGAUUUUGAUGAGCAGACUUAUUUAAAUUUAACUUAAUUUGGAAGAAGUGUCUUAGUUAGACUUGCGGUGUCAGUGUAGACUUUUCAGGACAAACUUACAAAGAUGUGCCUUAAAGUGAAUAUAUCUUAAGUUUCUGUUAAAUGCAAUUUUUUAAUUUUAUUUUAGAUACCAGACAGCUUUAAGAAUAUGCUAAAAUGUGAGUUUCUGCUGAAACGUCACCAUAAGACGGGGAUUAGUAGAGAAAGAACUUAGGAUGGAAGAAGCUAGUUGAAGGCCAAAGCCUGUGUACAUAAUAUCCAUAUUCUUUGUGUUUGCUUCUACUUAAGCCUUCGUCUUAAUAUGUCAAAGCUGUGAUAGUUUUAAAUACUGAUGCUUGUGUUUUUAUGUUAUAGUUCCUCUCAGGCCAGUUUUGAUUUUUAUGCAACUUUUAUGUGUUUACAAAGCUUUAAUAUGCAUUUAUGUCUAUAUAGUUAGCAAUGUUUUAGAGCAAAGAUUUUUAUGGCUUUACAUUUUUAUUCUAUUUUUUAAAGUUCAAUGGUUUGUUCAAAUGAAGAAGGGUAAUUUGUUUGCCUUCUGCUGUGGUUAUAACCCAGUGUUUUCUGGGUGAGUUUGAGCCACUUUUAAAACUUCCUUGUUGUCUUACUCUUCAGUAGCAGUUUCCACUUCAAUGGUCCCCCAAACAAGCUGUAACAAUCAAAAUAUAAUGUGAUGGCUGACGUUGUCAACUCCACUGACGGUGUAAACUGAUGAUAUUGGUGAUACUGUGAAACUAUGCAACCCACUGUAAUUAAAAGACAACAAGCUGA